rnacentral:rRNA from 1 species
CCUACGGGAGGCAGCAGUCGAGAAUCAUUCACAAUGGGGGAAACCCUGAUGGGGCGACGCCGCGUGGGGGAAUGAAGGUCUGCGGAUUGUAAACCCCUGUCAUGUGGGAGCAAAUUAAAAAGAUAGUACCACAAGAGGAAGAGACGGCUACCGCUGUGCCAGCAGCCGCGGUAAUCCAGAGGUCUCAAGCGUUGUUCGGAAUCACUGGGCGUAAAGCGUGCGUAGGCUUUUUCGUAAGUCGUGUGUGAAAGGCGCGGGCUCAACCCGCGGACGGCACCUGAUACUGCGAGACUAGAGUACUGGAGGGGGAACCGGAAUUCUCGGUGUAGCCGU